GGUUGAAGUUCAGGUAACACUGAAUGGAGGACCGAACCGACUUACGUUGAAAAGUGAGCGGAUGAACUGAGGGUAGCGGAGAAAUUCCAAUCGAACCUGGAGAUAGCUGGUUCUCUCCGAAAUAGCUUUAGGGCUAGCCUCAAGUGAUGAUUAUUGGAGGUAGAGCACUGUUUGGACGAGGGGCCCCUCUCGGGUUACCGAAUUCAGACAAACUCCGAAUGCCAAUUAAUUUAACUUGGGAGUCAGAACAUGGGUGAUAAGGUCCGUGUUCGAAAGGGAAACAGCCCAGACCACCAGCUAAGGUCCCAAAAUAUAUGUUAAGUGGAAAAGGAUGUGGCGUUGCCCAGACAACUAGGAUGUUGGCUUAGAAGCAGCCAUCAUUUAAAGAGUGCGUAAUAGCUCACUAGUCGAGUGACACUGCGCCGAAAAUGUACCGGGGCUAAACAUAUUACCGAAGCUGUGGAUUGUCCUUUGGACAAUGGUAGGAGAGCGUUCUAAGGGCGUUGAAGCAUGAUCGUAAGGACAUGUGGAGCGCUUAGAAGUGAGAAUGCCGGUGUGAGUAGCGAAAGACGGGUGAGAAUCCCGUCCACCGAUUGACUAAGGUUUCCAGAGGAAGGCUCGUCCGCUCUGGGUUAGUCGGGUCCUAAGCUGAGGCCGACAGGCGUAGGCGAUGGAUAACAGGUUGAUAUUCCUGUACCACCUAUAAUCGUUUUAAUCGAUGGGGGGACGCAGUAGGAUAGGCGAAGCGUGCGAUUGGAUUGCACGUCUAAGCAGUAAGGCUGAGUAUUAGGCAAAUCCGGUACUCGUUAAGGCUGAGC
rnacentral:rRNA from 1 species